rnacentral:lncRNA from 1 species
UGUGGUUGGUGACGCACAAGUCAGCCGUGCCGCGACACGUGUUAAUAAGCAGAGACUCGAGCUUCCUCCAAGUUUGGACCUUAGUGGGCCGGAUGAUUUGGAACUUGGAGAACUGAGAAAUAAAAACGUAAGGGUGUGAUUUUGCCAGCUGAAGGCAGUUUACAUUCGGAGUUCCGCGGACUCUUCAGAGGCUGUAAAAAUGCCGGAGUCACGAAAGCCUGCAAAGAGCUGUUGCUUGCCUUGCUGCUGCUGCUGCUACUGCCGUCCCUGCCCGUGCUGCAGCUGCUACUCCUGCUGCUGCUGCUGCUGCUUGUUGCUGAUUGUUGCGGUUGCUGGUUGCUGUUUACUGUUUGCUGCCGGCUGGAUUGCUGGAUUGCUGAUUGCCAGUCGGCGAAAUCCUGGCGAUGAAGAUCCAACUUGCCCCAAGAAACAAGACGACCCUAAGAAGUAGUCUAAUGAUUUCAAUACGCCCUUUCCCCCUCUGACCUUUCUCUCUUACCUUAUGCUGGGGGAUUGGAAGGGUGGCAGAAAAAAGAACCCAAUAAAGUAGCCAAAAGUAAAGUUA